rnacentral:lncRNA from 1 species
CCCCAACACUAUUAUAAUUUUCAGUUUAGUCUAGUUCAGAAUCUGAUACUUUUCGCCGGAGCCCUUCUGAAUGUCUGUUUCUUCUCAAAUUUGACAAUCAGGCUCGGAUAAAAUUAAUUAGAAGAACGUGAUCUUAACUUUUUUAGUUUUGAAUCAUUUUUUGUCACCGAAAAGUCUACCGACUAGAAUAUCUAGCAGAUAGCAGUCAGGUUCUGUUUUUCACUUUUUAUGUGUCGGAAUGACAUGAAACUUUAAAUCUAGCCUCAGAAAAAUAAUUCCGACUUAUUCUCAAAUUUUUAUAAUUUUCUGACACUGUAAAUUUUCUGCUAAAAGAUUAGCCCCGUUACUUACAGAAAAUUCUAAAUCUCCUGUUUUAUUCCAAUUUCACCACAAACCAUUUCUAAAUUAUCUUUUACUGUUUCUAAGUCAAUAAAAAUAGUAUUUCAUACUAUUUUUAUUUACACUUGAUUUUACUAAAAUAUCCUUCAAAAUCUGCAUUUUGCAGAAUUGCGUACCGGUACUCUGUUUCCACUACCGGUACCCAACAUAAAUUUAGUACCAGUAUCCGAACUUG